UACGUAGGGGGCAAGCGUUGUCCGGAUUUAUUGGGCGUAAAGAGCGUGUAGGCGGUCUGGUAGGUCCGUUGUGAAAACUCGAGGCUCAACCUCGAGACGCCGAUGGAAACCAUCAGACUAGAGUCCGGAAGAGGAGAGUGGAAUUCCUGGUGUAGCGGUGAAAUGCGCAGAUAUCGGGAGGAACACCCGUGGCGAAGGCGGCUCUCUGGGACGGUACUGACGCUGAGGAGCGAAAGCGUGGGGAGCGAACAGG
rnacentral:rRNA from 1 species